GUUGUGUUUUCCUUUUCAAAAAAUAUAAAAAAACGUCAGAUAGGAAUCAAACCAAAACUCUUAAACAGAAUAAUCAAACAAGGAUUAGCAUAGUCUCUAUAAAAUUCUGUUGGUAGCUUUUAGACGUCUAUAUAAGCCUAUAAGGUGUGCGUAACUUUAACGCCGUUCCCUCCUUAGAAGACUGAAGAACAAUAAUAGAGAGUACUCGGUGGUUUGUUGUGGGUUCGGCGUUAGGGCUUCUUCUCUCUCAGACUCUCUCGUGCGCAACCUCAAUCCAAUCCAGCCAUGUCUUCCAAGCAAGGUGGAAAGGCCAAGCCCUUGAAGCAACCUAAGGCCGACAAGAAAGAGUACGAUGAGAUUGAUAAAGCAAAUAUUCAGAAGAAGAAAGAUGAGGAAAAGG